GCUAAGUCCUGCCAAGGUCUUGGAUCCACCUCUUCUAGUUCCCCUGAGCAGCCCUAGCUCCCCUGGGGAGAACACACACUCCAUCUUGACAUCUAUUCCUAGCUUAGAGACUGUGUCCGGCCACUUCACACUCUGCACCUUGAUUUCUUUUGUGUACUAUGAGUCAGUUCCCUGGAAACUGUCUUGGGACUCUGUUGUGACAGGUAUCCCUGAUUCAGCUUCCUGUUCCAGACCCUCUAUACUGUCAUCCCGGCCCAAUUUCGUGUCUCUCAUCCCGCUUACCCUUCAUUGUCGGACGCUUCCGGAGCGCUUUGAUGACGUUUCCUUCAGGUCUCACUCACUCUUCCCCUUUCUUCACUUCGUUCAGCAGCUUUCAGCCACCAGGACUCUUUCUUGUUUACCUUUCCGCUGGAAAAAUCCCUUGUGCCCAAGAAACAACUUGCGCACAGUACACAGACAGACUUGCUCCAGGCGGCAUCAAUGGAUGAGACCAGAUCUCGGACAAUGCGCCUUGUGUGACGCCAUCGAAGCGCGACGGGCUCUGGCGGUGCAUGCGCCUUGGGUUUAGCUCUGCUGCCGAGGGAGGGGCUAGCUAAGCGCCGGUUCUGUGGCCGGUGGAGUCUGUUAUUUGUGGCCUCUUCAGUUUAUGGCUCUCCUGGCCGAACAGUCCGGUUGCAGUGAUGAAUGGUAAACUUUGCAUCAUGGAUAGUCAUGCAUUUUCCCACGAGUGAAUCUAUGAAAAUUCUGUGAGAAUUUGAGGUUCAAUGGCAUGAUGGUGACUUCACCCACUUCCAACAACUUACUAUGGAAAACUUGAAGUAGGAUUGGUGAGAUGGCCAGCAGGUAAGGGUGUUUGCCAUCUAAAUCUGACCACCUGAAUUCCAUCACCAAAUUCCACCAGGACAGAAAAGGACUGACUCCAGAGAGUCGACCUGUUACCUCCCCAUACAUGCUGUGCCACGUGUGUACCACACUCACAUACACCUACUCCAGUCAGUACCAGUAUACUUCUACAGUUGACAUCUUGCUACAUUUGUGCAGAUUAUGUUGGCUUGCUGUCUUAAGACCUUCAGGCUGUCAUAUCAAAGACAGAAGCACAUUUUCAUACAGAGAUUCAAGAAUAACUUCAGUUAUUAAACACAUGAGUAUUUGAAAAUCA